rnacentral:rRNA from 1 species
CCUACGGGCGGCAGCAGUGGGGAAUAUUGGACAAUGGGCGAAAGCCUGAUCCAGCAAUGCCGCGUGUGUGAAGAAGGCCUUCGGGUUGUAAAGCACUUUCAGUGGGGAAGAAAGCCUUGGGGCUAAUACCCUCGAGGAAGGACAUCACCCACAGAAGAAGCACCGGCUAACUCCGUGCCAGCAGCCGCGGUAAUACGGAGGGUGCGAGCGUUAAUCGGAAUUACUGGGCGUAAAGCGCGCGUAGGCGGUCUGAUAAGCCGGUUGUGAAAGCCCCGGGCUCAACCUGGGAACGGCAUCCGGAACUGUCAGGCUAGAGUGCAGUAGAGGAAGAUGGAAUUCCCGGUGUAGCGGUGAAAUGCGUAGAGAUCGGGAGGAAUACCAGUGGCGAAGGCGACCUUCUGGACUUGCACUGACGCUGAGGUGCGAAAGCGUGGGUAGCAAACAGGAUUAGAUACCCUAGUAGUC